rnacentral:lncRNA from 1 species
GGUACGGUAAGACAUGCAGACAUGGAAAUGACCAUCAUGGAGGAAGAAGUUUGUUAUACUCACAGAUUGCCAGACACAGGAGGCACAGUAGACCAUGCAGGGCCACAGGGAAAUACUAGGGUUUGUCAGAGGCAGAGGGAAUGAAAUGGAGAAGCAGCCAAGAGUCUUUAUUGUGGUUUCUGCAGGAAAGAGCCAUCAGGAAGGGAAUUAGCUAGCCCUGGGAAAGACAGUCCCUCCAGAGUUAGCAACACCCCAAGAUGUCAAAGAUAAAAAUGCAAAAAUUAAAACUCCAUGAUUAACACAACUUUGAAGUCCUUCUCACUUGUCUUUAGAUGAAGGGCAACAUCAUUGCAACAAGUCACACUUUGAGAACUCAAGAGAAUAUGUUUGUUCUGAAAAUCCAGGAAUUAUUGCCAACCCAUGGUUGUCUCCAUAUGUCUUGGGAAAAAUAGGAAAAGGAUUUUUUGAGUUGGUGAUUUGAAUCCAAGACACAAAGAUUCAGGCUCUGGUAAAAAGAUUGUAUAGGCUAUAUUGGCUGACAUAAAAGGUAAGAGCAAGAAUGCAGAGGAUUUCUAUCAACAUAAAGAAGAGUCAAAGGUAUGCGACUUGUUUGAGUACAAAGAUUCUGAAGCAGAGGUACUGCAACUCCUUAGCAUUUGCAGAAGCAAAGACUUGACAGUGAAAAUUAAUUGUCAUAAAAAUUUUUAAGGUAAAAUAAAAAGAAUACUGGAACACUCAUAAAGGCAAAA